rnacentral:rRNA from 1 species
AUUGAACGCUGGCGGCAGGCCUAACACAUGCAAGUCGAGCGAGCGGCGGACGGGUGUGUAAUGUCUGGGAAACUGCCUGAUGGAGGGGGAUAACUACUGGAAACGGUAGCUAAUACCGCAUACCAUCAGAUGUGCCCAGCUGGGAUUAGCUAGUAGGUGGGGUAACGGCUCACCUAGGCGUCGAUCCCUAGCUGGUCUGAGAGGUGGACCAGCCACACUGGAGCUGAGACACGGUCCAGCCUCGUACGGGAGGAGGCAGUGGGGAAUAUUGCACAAGGGGCGCAAGCCUGAUGCAGCCAUGCCGCGUGUGUGAAGAAGGCCUUCGGGUUGUAAAGCACUUUCAGCGGGGAGGCGUUACCCGCAGAAGAAGCACCGGCUAACUCCGGGCCAGCAGCCGCGGUAAUUC